UCAGACGGUCCAAGUGUAAAAGAGAAUGAGCUCAGAUUCUGCUAUGGCCCAAACAACUAACUAAGCCUACAAUAUAUAAAGUAUACAAUGAAUAUACAAUAAAUAUACAACUCAAUAUCAAUGUCUACAUUUAUGUUUAGGCUUAGAAGCUAGAUAAGCUUGUAGCUCAACACCUCCCCUCAAGUUGGAGGGGGAGACCACCUGCAACUUGACCAGUAGAGGAUGGAGGACAGUCCCAGGCAGUGGCUUGGUGAGGAGGUCAGCUAGCUGUCGAGAGGUAGGAACAUGGGAGAGUGUAAUGAGCCCACUAGUCAGCUGAUCCCUAACAAAGUGACAAUCUACCUCAAUAUGCUUGGUCCGCUCAUGAAAAACAGGAUUCUUGACAAUAUGAAUAGCAGCCUGGUUGUCACAAAAAACAGAGAAGGGAAGAGUAAUAGAAACCCCAAUAUCAGUAAGUAAACGAGAAAGCCAAGACAAUUCAGCUGCCACUUUACUGAGUGCCCUAUAUUCUGCUUCAGCAGAAGAUAAGGAAACGAAAGGUUGCUUUUUGGACUUCCAUCUAAUCAAACAACCACCCAAAAUGACACAAUCUGCGAGUAUCAGGGUAGGCAGCCCAAUCACUGUCAGAAUAAGCAGUAAUAGAGAAAUCAGGACUAGCAGAAUAGAACAGACCCCAGAUAAAGUUCCCUUAAGAUAUUUGAGGACAUGGAGGGCAGCAGUCAUAUGGGGACUCUGGGAAAUUUUUAAAAUUGACUCAUAUAUUGAACAGCAAAACAGAUGUCAGGCCUAGUGUGAGUCAAAAAUAAGAGUUUACCAACAAGGCUCCUAUAUUGAUCAGGGGAGGAUAAAAUAUCACCAGAAUCAGCAUGAAGUUUGACAUUAAUAUCCAAAGGACUAACAACAGGAGAAACAUUUAUACAGUCAAACUGAUGCAGCAGGUCAGAAACAUACUAAUAUCCAAAGGACUAACAACAGGAGAAACAUUUAUACAGUCAAACUGAUGCAACAGGCCAGAAGCAUACUUAUGUUGAUAAAGGAUCAUCCCACCAGGAACAACUGACACCUCUAUGCCCAAAAAAUAAUGCAAAGACCCCAGGUCUUUAAUCCUGAAUUGAUCAUCCAGAAACAGUUUCAGGGCCGAAAUCUCAUCAUUGUCAUCCCCAGUAAUAAUAAUGUCAUCCACAUAGAAUGUUACAAUCACAAAAGAUCCAAGUUUACUUUGAUGGAUAAAGAAUAAUCAUUCAAAGAAUGUGUAUAGCCUCUGGAAUAGAGAUUGCUACAAUCACAAGAGAUCCAGGUUUCCCUUUGAUGAAUAAAGAAUACUCAUUCAAAGAAUGUGUAUAGCCUCUGGAAUAAAGAAGACAAUUUAGCACACCAUUGUCUGGAUGCCUGGCUCAGCCCAUAGAGAGACUUUUUCAACUUACAAACAAGAGGAGUAGAGGCAGAGGAAACAGAAUCAGAAAAAGGAGCAGAAACUGUCAAACCUGGAGGGAGCUUCAUAUAUACCUCCUCAUCCAAAUCACCAUGUAAGAAAGCAUUGUUUACAUCAAGUUGAAAUAAAUUCCAAUGAUUCUUAAGAGCCACAGCAAUAAUACUUUAACAGUGGACAUCUUAACCACAGGAGAAAAAAAUGUAAGUGAAAUCAACUCCUUCAACCUGAGUAUCACCUCUAAUAACAAGUCUAGCUUUAUGCCUUUCAACACAGCCAUCAGCUUUGUAUUUGAUUUUAUAAACCCAUUUACAACCAAUGGGUUUCUUACCAGGAGGAAGAGGAACAACAUCCCAAGUAUGGUUUGUGUCCAAAGCAUCAAACNNN
rnacentral:lncRNA from 1 species